rnacentral:rRNA from 1 species
UACGUAGGUGGCAAGCGUUUGUCCGGAUUUAUUGGGUUUAAAGGGUGCGUAGGCGGUCUAUUAAGUCAGCGGUGAAAUACUCCAGCUUAACUGGAGGGGUGCCAUUGAUACUGAUGGACUUGAGUCAAGUCGAGGUAGGCGGAAUUGACGGUGUAGCGAUGAAAUGCUUAGAUAUCGUCAAGAACACCAAUAGUGAAGACAGCUUACUGGGCUUAAACUGACGCUGAGGCACGAAAAGUGUGGGGAUCAAAACAGG